rnacentral:rRNA from 1 species
GACGAACGCUGGCGGCGUGCCUAAUACAUGCAAGUCGAACGCAGUGGGGACUGGUGAGUAACACGUGGGUAACCUCCCAUCAGAGGGGAUAACACUUGGAAACUGGUGCUAAACCGAUACUGAUGGAUGAACCCGCGGGGCAUUAGCUAGUUGGUGGGGUAACGGCUCACCAAGGCCACGAGGCCUAGCCGACCUGGGAGGGUGAUCGGCGCCACUGGUACUGGGACACGGCCCAGACUCCUACGGGAGGCAGCAGUAGGGAAUCUUCGGCAAUGGACGAAAGUCUGACCGAGCAACGCCGCGUGAGUGAAGAAGGUUUUCGGAUCGUAAAACUCUGUUGUUAGAGAAGCGGUGUCUAACCAGAAAGCCACGGCUAACUACGUGCCAGCAGCCGCGGUAAUAC